ACACCGACACGUUGAAACGCAUAUGGCGCAUCGGACGUUUAAACCCGACCGAUGUACACAUUCUUGAGUGCCUAC
rnacentral:rRNA from 1 species